rnacentral:lncRNA from 1 species
GGGUGGGGGUUGGAAUUGGGGAGGUACAGGCAGUAACCCCCUAUCAACUGUUAUGCUUUAACAGCUAUAAAUUAUAGAUGGGUGUUACUCCCUGCACCUCCACCAAUGCUUCCUCCACCUCCCCGUCUCUUUUUUAUCCUUUAAUAAUAUUUAAACGAAUAUCAACAUUCGAGACGUCGACGUCCGCGGAAGCUGAAAUCCGUUUAAAAAAAUCAUUAUUCUCUUUAAAAAUAUUGAAUGCUUUCCUCUCAAUGUGCUUUUUGCUUUU